CUACGGGCCGCUGCAGUGAGGAAUAUUGCACAGUGGGGGGAACCCUGAUGCAGCAACGCCGCGUGGAGGAUGACGCAUUUCGGUGUGUAAACUCCUUUUAUAUGUCAAGAAAAUGACGGUAGCAUAUGAAUAAGCACCGGCUAACUCCGUGCCAGCAGCCGCGGUAAUACGGAGGGUGCAAGCGUUACUCGGAAUCACUGGGCGUAAAGGACGCGUAGGCGGGUUGGAAAGUCAGGUGUGAAAUCCUACAGCUUAACUGUAGAACUGCACUUGAAACUUCUAAUCUAGAGUAUGGGAGGGGGAGAUGGAAUUAGUGGUGUAGGGGUAAAAUCCGUAGAUAUCACUAGGAAUACCUAAAGCGAAGGCGAUCUCCUGGAACAUUACUGACGCUAAGGCGUGAAAGCGUGGGGAGCAAACAGGAUUAGAUACCCUUGUAGUC
rnacentral:rRNA from 1 species